AUUACCAAAUAUAGCACUCACCUCAGGGUACGUUGUUAGCGGAGUAGGUGGACUUGUUUAUGUUCCCUUUUUUGUAACAAUGAAUCUGAAAGGAAUCAUGACGAUAAAAAGUUAGUUCUUCUAAAAGUGUAAGAUUGGCUAACUAUACGCUUUGAUGAUAACUUACAAGCAGAUCAGUCAAGCGCAAAGUGCGCUUCAAUCGGGAUGGCAAAAGAAACCUUGAGGGCAAUAAGAUAUCACUGAAAUAUCAAGCAACAUGCUAUGUCAUCAUGUUUUAUGUCUAUGCUGUUUUCAAAAGAGGGAAUACCCUGCUGUCUUUUACAAAUGCACAAUUUACUGAACUCGCUUCUUUCACGUGCCAAAGAAACUUUGGACCCGGCCACGCUCUUCGUAAGAUUGUUACAAUACUGUCAGCACGAUUCCUUUCUCCAGGAGAUCAAUCUCACAAAGAAAUGUACGACAAUGUGAAAGUACCUACCCAGCUUUGUAGCCCACGUGAGACUUGCUCCGCUCAACUUUCGAAAGGGCGCCUAUACAAAGCUAAAACUGUUUUCGACCUUGUGCGCUUGAGGUCUAAAUUAAUGCUUUAAAGACCGACUUGCUUUGAGCAUGAGAAAAGCAGUGAAAACCAUUUAACAUCCAACUAAAAAUAUAUAUGUCCUGGAGGGAUUAAAGUUAAACACCGGAUAACCUUUUCAAAAUCGUUCAUCAAAUAACAAAAUAUCGCUCUCUUGACUCGUGAACUACCGCGACAGAAUACGCAUAAAGCUGAGGUAUACGUCAGUACGAUAUUUUGCCCUCCACAGUUCCUUUUUUCCUUCAUAGGAUUUAUAGGAUCGAGAAGAAUGUCUCCCAGGGACCGUAAAAAUUUGCGUGUAAUCGUCAAUACUUAAAAUAAUAUACUUAACUCAACAUCAGAAACACGUUUCGACAGAAAAACUAUACAAUCUGUUGUACUUCGCUCAACUGAGAGGUAACAUUAACUCUUAAGACUAACGCUUGAGACGUCACCCAGCUUCAGUAGAAACUCUUUAGAACUGCAUUAUCAUCUCACUUGAUAAAACCAAACUAUCUUAUGAUACCCCCUACCGACGCAAUACCACAGCUUCUUUAAAUUUACCUCCCUUUAUUCAUGAGAGGUACUAUGGUUACACAGUAGUAUCCUCUCCACUGGUAUGAGAGAUCAUCAUCAGAAUUAAACGGCCGACGAUUUUUUGGACCAUUUUCAAGUAAAGACACAGACACUUUCCUUACAACAGAAUGGGACUUUGGAAAAAUGCUACGAACAAAAACACCGAAGAGGAAAUAGAAUGAACACGCACUGUACUAAAAUUACCCUUUGAAACAUUUUGGAUACACGUUAACCCCACAAAUAGUGCGUACAUUACAAAAGGAAUUUUUUACAUCGGUUUGUUGAAAAAAUAAACCUCAUCUUUAUCAUAUAUGAUAUCUCGAAAUAUAAACCCAACAAUCCACUUUCAUUUCACGCCCAGCGUAAAUCAAAUCACGUGCCCCUCAACUAGUUUCGUCUAGGAACCACGCAAUCAAAGGUAAGAAUUUUGCUUGCAAGCGGAGACAGAAAAGCAGGAGAUAAUUUAAAACAGGGAGCUAGUUAAAGACAAACAGAAUUUCGAGGAAAACUCUCUCCUCAGUUAAAUAUUUUCGAUACCAACUACAGAGUUCUAGAAAUGCACUACAUUCGGCCGAUAAUAAACAAUCGAUUUUUAAGCUCAUACCUUUGAGGUCCUACCUGGAUUGGUCGGUCUGGUUGCGAUUGAGAAGUACUCAAAUAGAAUAUUUGUAUAGGCGAUAUAAAUAGUUUGUACGUCAAAGGCUUGGAAUAACAUUUUGUAAAAGAAACAAGGGGAUAAAUCUUGCCCCUUUCUGAAAUUUUCUGACGCAUCUUUCUAUUAGCUAAACAUAACUGUUAGCUAAGUAGUUUAUUACUGUACAAUAUCAGAAGUUUCCCAAGCAGUAAAGGACUGCUUUCGUAAUCCGAUCGAGAACAAGGCAUACUUCAAAUAUCAAGCUGGGCUGUUAAAUAUCGCUCAUCGUCUGAGAGGAAUCAAGAAAUCAGGCAAGAGGUAAUAAUUGUAUUCAUUUGUUGUCUUUUAAAGAACUUCGAUGACCAGAGCUGAAUGUGAGAGUUUUGUUAGUAUUCGACAGAAAGGAUUGUCGAUGGCAUUAGUGCAACUUGAGCUGUUUUUGCUUGUUAGAGCACACUUCUUAAUUAUCUGAAAACCUGACGCAUUUGUUGGCUUGAAUGUUAUGGGAUAACACGAGAGGGCAACACAAUCACAUGACAUAAAUCUGCUAUUCUUUAAAAUAAAUUGAAAAAAAAAAAAAAAAGAAACUUAACACAAAGGUUAAAUUGCGUAAAGCACAAUAUAAUUGUUGAACAAUUGCCAUAGCAUUAUUGAUUGACUUUGAUUUUAUCUACCUAAUCAAUGGCAAGUAUUUUCGUUUGCAGUGUGAUUAAAAGUUAGCAAUUCAAAAAAAUUAAUGUUUUAUAGCAAACGGUUACAUCCUCUACUUACUCCUUAUAAGCUGAGAUGAAUCCGACGGCUAGUGUUGUCGUUGCUAUAAACUUGUAUUGAUUGUUAAUCUUAAAAAGACUUUCCUUGGACACAGAUCAAAUCUUUGAUGACAAGUACUUCUCUUUUAUGAGCCAUGUCGAAUAUCCGGAAAAACAUGGACUUUGUCUAAUGUUGGUGGAAACGGAACAGCGACAAAAGUAGAUGGUAAACGAUCCAAACAUAUGAAGUUCAGAAGUCUACGUGCGGCAAGUGAAAAAGCGAUUAGAGCCACGUUACUGAGGCAAGAACAACUCGUCAACGCACGAGCUCAACAUGUAUGACGAUAUCAUAACAGAAAAAAUUCUUCAAGCGACUACUCAUUAUAAUGAAAGACAGAUCAGCCAAUCGUAGUCCAGCGAAAGCGAAUACCAAACGUAGACGGUCCAAACGACGCGAUUCUUAUCUAGGAUUCUAUUAUUACUUAACAAAAAAGAGAUGACAAACUCGAAAAUUUCGUCUGGGAUCGAGUAUUACAUGUAUAUAUUAAAUAAAUUCUUGUUCAGUAUGUCUUUGCCGGCUUUCCGGUGAUUUAGACAGAUCCGCUUUCUGUCAGCGGAUGACACAGAAAUCAAAGGUUUCCCUUUUAUAACAAGGGACCUUCAGCAAAGCGGUUAGUUAGAUUUCUCUUUAGAAGAUUGCUUUCUUUGCUUUUCUCGUGACCGUGGGAACCGUCCCAAGGGUUAAUAUUGCGAGACAAACGAUCAAUAUAAAUUAUUGACUUUUUGAUGAUGUUGCAUGUACAAUCAGCUGCACAUUCCUGACAGUUUACUUCAGCUGGCAUUAUUUUUACCACUACAUGUGGUAGAUAAGUCCUUUCGCAACUUUUCAUAUUUAAUUUAGUCCGCUAGCAUACCAAUCUGAUAGACGUUUUGAACAAGUAACAUCAUUCAUGGUACCAUAAAACUAAGCUAACGUUCCCAAUAUCAUCUCUCAUUUAAGCCUUCACCAUGUUGAUGUCGUUUAGUGACAUUUGAAAGGCUGCUGAAUCGAACUUCUAACCAUCACAAAAAUCCUUCCAAGAGAAAAAAAGAAGUCGCAAAAAAAA